rnacentral:lncRNA from 1 species
AAGGAGGCAGCAGAGGCCACAGUCCCCAACUGCACAUCUCAAAGCAAUGGCCACCGUUUCGUCCAGCCCUGUUUCAAAACAAACUCAGCUCAUACCGUGGAAGGAAUAUUUAGAUCUUCCUUAUAUUUUUGCUUUUUUUUUUUUACAUUUCUUUGAAAUGUCACUGACUUGUGUUUUUAUUUGCUUUUGAAGGAUACUGUGGGUAAACUACACCUUCCUUUAGUGGGCAGCCUGUGAGAUGCUCACACGUGCUCACUCUCUUAUCACGGUUUCUAUCUUUUAGCUCUCCGGCUUGACUACCAACGUCGUGGACAUAAUUUUGGCUCAUCACUUCGGGCAGGGACGCAGAGACCUGGAGAUCGAAAGACCUAUUCUGGGCCAAAAUGAUAACAGAUUGAAAACAUUAAAGUGUUCUACUUUACUGGUGGUUGGGGACAAUUCACCUGCUGUGGAAGCAGAUGGCAGACUGUGGAGGACUGCCCCAAGUAGUUCAGCCUGGGAAGCUCAUCGAGGCCUUCAAGUCCUUUUUGCAGGGGAUGGGCUACAUACCAUCUGCCAGCAUGACCCGGCUCGCCCGAUCACGAACCCACUCCACCUCAAGUAGCAUUGGCUCUGGAGAAAGUCCCUUCAGCAGGUCUGUGACCAGCAAUCAGUCAGAUGGAACUCAAGAAUCCUGUGAGUCCCCUGAUGUCCUGGACAGACACCAGACCAUGGAAGUGUCUUGCUAAGCAGAUGCUCCUCCCCUGGACCAUGCAAGUCCCUCCUCCUUGAAAUGACCACUCCAUAAUAGAACAUUUCAUUCCGUCAGCUGGCCUCCACUUUCUUUCACUCAUGCAUGGCCACAGCAUCUCUCUCUAGUAGGCUGGAUUAUCAUUCUCUCUGCCCUUUUGUAUGUACCGAGAACCACACCCAUGCCAUUACUGUAACAUUCCAACACCUUGAUCUGAUCCGAUCUCCAUAUCUUCUCUUGCCAGCCUUUCCCUGCGCUCCCUCAAAUAUGUAUCUGACGAGACUCUUUAAUUCCCAACUCCAUGUGUGUGCGAGCACGCGUGUCUGUGUCUGUGUGUGCAUAGUUCUGUGAUUUUAGACAUGCUUUCUUGUAGUGCUUCUGCAAAGGGACUUUUUUGAAUUCUCAGUGGCAUUUUUAAGGGAAAUAUGCAGAGUGGAUAUCUGGGUGGGAUAGGCCACAAGAUUGGAUUUUGGUUCCACUUGGACAACUAACAAUAUUUGUAGAGUGAUUUCAGGAGAGAGCAGGUCUGAGGAAUAUGUGAGGCUAUAGUUACUGUGUGGGCCACUGGUGAGGUAACGAUUACACAGAUAGGCAGGCAGGGUGGCAGUCACCUCCCCUGUCCACGUGGAUUCAUACCUGUCAUCGUGUAAGUCAGAGGGAGGGAUCUGAAGCCUGUGAGUGAUGUCUGGUACACUGUGGAGUUUUCUCCAGAGAAGUGGCCUAAGCCCUCGGUUAGCCGAGAAAGAUGGAAAGCAAAGCGCCAGGCUUCGCUCUACAGAGAGAAAGUGCUGUCCCUGAAGCAUCUGAGUCCACUUACCAGACACCCAGGCAUCAGCAGGAAGUGCCUCCUGGUCUGAGGGAGAGCGGUUCUCCAUCCCUCGGUCCCAGAGAACAGAGUGAUAUUUGAAAAUGCCAUCGAUGGUGAGGGUUUUAUUGGGGAAGAGGAAGGACCGUUAGCACACACCAUCAUGGUAAAUAAGUGGAGCCUAAGUGUCAGCAGACAUGAUGAAAGCCAAGUCACCUUGAAGGUGACUUUUCUGGGAAGGUCUUAAGCAUGUAAUGUCCCUUAAUAGGAGGGAAAGGGACAAUCUCAGGGCAGCCUUGUCCAGGUAGAAAUAUUUUGCCCCCCUGUCUGUUGUUGGUGAGGGGUCACACCAGCCAGGGAGACCCUCUGGGAAGAAGCUGCCACACACAAGGACUCUGGAAGGAUCCACAUGUGAGCCCAGCCAGGGUCAUACGGUUCCCAACCUGAGGA